UUCUGGUUCCCCAUGUUGGUGUAUCCACUUUCUUGAAGGCUUUUUUCACCGAAGUUUUGUUGCUGCUCCUGAUCAUAAGCAUUGUUGCUGUAGUAGUUGGUGUUUGUGUUGGUGGUUGUGUCAGUUGGAUAAUUGGUGUAGGUUUCUUGGUUUUGGGUUUGGGUCUUGUAUGGCUGGGAAUUAGUGGUAGUAGUGUAGGGUGCAUUAGCUAGUUUAGUGGUGGUGGGGAACUGGGUGGUUUCUUGACCAUAUAGACCAUAACCAUUUUGGUUGUCUGGGAUGAAGGCUGGAUCUUGUUCUUGCUUGCUCAACCCUUCUUCUUCUUCUUUGCCGGGGAGU
rnacentral:lncRNA from 1 species